GCACGCGGGCGCCGCCGCCCCUCCCCCGCACGCCGGCCGGAAGAACGCGGGCUGCGGCCUGGAGGCCUGGAGACCGCGGGCGGCGGCCGAGCUGAGGCCUCCCAGCACCGUGGAAAGUUGAAUGCACUGAACAAAGUGCCCACCGUGCUGCGGGCUCGCCCGACCUUCCCGCCCCGGCCGCCAGAGGCCCAGCGCCGGCCGAGUUCAGGGAAAAUUCGGCCAAGGGUGUAGGACCGCGGGCAAAAGCUCGGGUCCUCCUACCACGAUCCACCGCCUCCUGUAUCCCCCUCUAACACAGUCAAAAAGAAGGGGAUUAGGACCGGACAGUCGGGGGAAAGUUGCCUGGAGAUUUGCUUUUCAGCAAAAAAGGAAAAGGCUGCAUUGUUCUGUGGGGUAGGUAAUAGAAUGUUAUUAUGGGAAAGAAAGGGAGAAAG
rnacentral:lncRNA from 1 species